UACGUAGGGUGCGAGCGUUAAUCGGAAUUACUGGGCGUAAAGCGUGCGCAGGCGGUUCGUUGUGUCGGCGGUGAAAGCCCCCGGGCUCAACCUGGGAAUGGCAAUGGAUACUGGCAGGCUAGAGUGCGGUAGAGGGUAGUGGAAUUCCUGGUGUAGCGGUGGAAUGCGCAGAUAUCAGGAGGAACACCGAUGGCGAAGGCAGGUCACUGGGCCGCAACUGACGCUGAGAAGCGAAAGCAUGGGGAGCGAACAGG
rnacentral:rRNA from 1 species